UACGGAGGGAGCUAGCAUUGUUCGGAAUUACUGGGCGUAAAGCGCGCGUAGGCGGCUUUGUAAGUUAGAGGUGAAAGCCCGGAGCUCAACUCCGGAACUGCCUUUAAAACUGCAUCGCUUGAAUCCAGGAGAGGUGAGUGGAAUUCCGAGUGUAGAGGUGAAAUUCGUAGAUAUUCGGAAGAACACCAGUGGCGAAGGCGACUUACUGGACACAUAUUGACGCUGAGGUGCGAAAGCGUGGGGAGCAAACAGG
rnacentral:rRNA from 1 species